GCCCCUGCACGCCCGCACUUCUGCCCCGUCCCGCCCAUCGUUGCGCGGCCGCGGGCCAAUCAGAUCGUGCCUUGCCUCUACGCCCCCGGCUCCCCCGAACUUCUGUCCUCCUUUCAGGGCGACUUUGGGAACACAAUAGUCGACUCGCCGACGUUCCCUUAGACGCGUUGCCAUACGUCGUCACCCAUAGAAACGGCUUUCCGCGGGGCAGACUCCAAGUCUCGCCUGUGUGAGCGGGCGGGGGUAGCAGGAAAGGCUGUUUUUCAUUUCCAAGAGAAAACCGUCACCCCGCCCAACUCGAACCUCCUCCCAACAUCUCAGGAUAGAAACGCCGCGCUAAGAAAGAUACAAGUCUUCUCAUUGGAAAUGUUAACCAAGAUGAAUGAAAUGGAAACCAACACCUGGACAUGUCAUGGUGAAAUGUUAGAACACUGGGCACGAAGAGACUGGAUCUUGCUCUGUCGUCCAGGCUGGAGUACAGUGGUGUAAUCAAAGCUCGUAGAAGCCUGGAACUCUUGGGCUCAAGUGAUCCUCCUGCCUCAACCUCCCAAGCAGCUGAGACUACAGGCGCAUCUGCACCUGCACUCGAUUAAUUUUGUUAAAUUAUUUUUUAUAAAGAUAGAGCCUCU